AAGAUAAAUCACAAUUUUCUUUAAUAAUUUCAAUGAUAAUAGUUUUGAUAAAUUCAAGAUAUUUAUUACAAUUUUAUCCGAUUGAAAUGGGGUGGUAGAGCUUUGAAAUGGAUUAAGAAAUAGAAAGAUUGAUGGCUGAGGCGCUCAAUGUGAUCAAAUUGAAGUACAUAAGCUCAAUAGCAAAGAAGCUAACAGAAGAGGGCCCAGGAUAUGUUUUGCUGGUUCUUUCUCCUCAUCAUUCUCAAAAUGUUCAUCUUUCAUCAUCGUUAAUCCCUAUCUUAAUCCAAUGAAAGCUAGAUAAUGUUCGAAUAUUUACAAGUAUGAAUACACACUGAACUUAUUUUGGCUGAUGAGUUGAGAUAUUAUUACAAGUUUGCAUAGUACCUGGGACUUAGGAGGACUUUUUGUGUAACAAUGUGUCAGAGAUGACUUACGGCUCAAAGUCUGGCUUCAAAUAAUGAGCAAGCACAUCAGCAUAUAACUUGUAACGAGCAGUCAUUCGAAAUCCCCAUUUGUCUUUCAACUGUCUACACAGGUUUAGGUCCAUCUCUGAGAUCAGUAGUCCAUCCUUGUAACGAGAGAGAGAGGGUCUACAAGAAGCAUCUGGUGCUGAAAAAUGACUAGAUCCAUAGAGAUGCCCAAAAUCUGUAUGUUGUGGCUUCCCAUCACCCGAAGUGAAUGGAUUGGGGAAAUUCUCAGUCCCAACACGAUUGAUAGACCCAAGAAGUAACUGUUGGCUAUUGCAGCAUUACAAGCCUGUAAAACCACGUCAAUUGAUAUUGUCGAAAGCAAUUUAUCCUUUUUAACAUAACUAAUUUAGCAUGACAAAUUGUUAACUGCAUAAUAUCUAUUAGAAUAUCACCUAAAUAUUAAGAUAUAUGAACAUAAUACAGCAUUAAAUAAAUCAUGGCAUUUAUUACAUGAACUGAGAAUCCUCAAAGCUGAACCAUAUUACAGUGAAGUUUUAUCCCUAUGCAAAGACUUGAUGAUGCUAACUUUUCUUGUUACCUAGUAUGGGACUAAGUGAAUUGGAAGUAUGGUCCAUCAAGCAAGUUAAUGGAAAUUGCAAAUGAGUGGAACUUAACCUCAAUGGGCCACAUUGGUCCACUGAGUUCACCAACGGUGACAGAAGGAUUAAAAACAAUCUCAGCACCAUUCAAGCCAAAUGCUAACCAAUUCAAUGGAUGGUGCCUCCCAUAGCAUAUAUUCACAGCAAUCUUUCAGUAAGCUGUCUCAAACACAGGAUGUGCAGAAUUUCCUCCCACAUAAUAUGUGCUUUCAUUGAAGUCACCAACUCUAGGUAUAUGGUUCUGCCAAAUGCAAUUUAGAUAGUGUGCUCAACAAAACUAGUCUUGAAAAAUAUCUAGUAGAGACAAAGUAAACUUGUAUUUACCUUUUGAUGCUUGCUAAUUAUGUUCCCUUGAUUCCCAAUUAUAAUAGCAGUAUUCCAGAGGGUCUCUCCAUGAUUUAAAUCUCUCUCAAGAAUUGGACUUAUGACAACCAUGUUCUAUUUUCUUGCAUAUUCCUGAAGAAAUUGUGUUGAUUCCCCAUCCACAGGCUCUACAAAUUCAUACCACCUCUUCUCCUUAGCACAGAAUGCAAAUGGCACCAUCCAUGCUUCUAUUUUCAAACAUAAUAUGUUCACUCUUGAAGAACCUGCAGCAUCAAUAAUUGGCUUCAAUUUCUGGAAAAUAGCCCUCUUUUGAUCCAAAAAAGGGGCAGUUGUUGGAAGAGCUAUGGAGUUCUGAAUAAGACCCACCCGAACUACUCAAGGUUGUCUUAAUAACUCUUUGUUGGCACCAAAGCAAAAAGCCAUGAGAAUUGCCUUAAUAUGAUCUUCUGAGAAUUGAAUUGUUCCAGAUUCAGUUUGAAAUCUCUCCAAACGUAGCAAAACGUCGAUAAUAUCUUCCUGUCCAGGCUCUUUGGUUCCCUUUUGGAUGUGAUCAUCUAUAACCUUUUGGUAGAAAACAUCAAAUUCUUGAAAGUUUCUUUCAAGCCUAGCAUGGAGGCCUGUGAGUCUAUCAACAAUCCAACCCACGUAAGGAAAGAAGUCAGCUGCAGAGAAGCUCCCAAGCAUGGCCAAGCCUUCAUGAAUCACUUCUUGGAAUCUUUCAUGGCUUAACCCUCUCUCUUGAAAACCCUUCCCAAAAGCUACUCUACAAGUUAUGUUCGCAGUGAGAGAGAGUGUCUUCUCACUGAGAUCAACAGGAGUGGCAGAGGAAGAAGAUUUGGAGAUGGAAUCGAUAAGCAAAUCAAUCUCUUCUUCUCUAACGAAUUGAAAUGACUGCACUCUCUUGGCACUGAACAGCUCAAGAACACAAAUCUUUCGCAUUUCUCUCCAGUAAUCUCCAUAGGGAGUGAAUGCUACAUCAAGAUAAUUGUAGGAUAGCUUUCCAGUACCAGCCAGGAGAGGUCUACUGCAAGUAUUGAUGUCAUGGGUUUUCAAGACCUCCUUGGCUGCAUCUGCAGAGGAUUCAAUAAGAAUGGGAAAUAUCCAAAGCAACAUCUAGCACCAGUCCAUCUCACAAAAAGCAAACUAUCAGAAAAAACAACUCAUAAGAAUGGGAAAAGUCAAGCUCAUGCAUUAACUCACCAAUCCAGCACCAGCAUCAUCUCGCAACAAAGCUGCAUCUUGGUAACGCUCUUCUGCUACUGCUCUACUCAGCUGGGACAUCACUCUGCCAACAGCAUCAUUUGUAGCUGCAGCAGCAAUUGCCACCUUUAGCCUAGCUGCAUCCUCAUAAUCCUCUCUAUUUACAGCCUGAUUCAACUGCGACUUCAAAACGGAGACGACACGCUCCUGCUCAUCGACUUCCUCGAAAUGCCUUCUCCAUCGAUUCCAAUCCCACUCUUCUUCACCCUU
rnacentral:misc_RNA from 1 species